rnacentral:tRNA from 1 species
GCUGGUGUUGCUCAGAGGUUAGAGCAUUGGCCCAUGCACCAAAGGGUCAUGGGUUCGAUUCCCAGUCAAAGGCA